AGAAUUUCAGGUGUAGCGGUGAAAUGCGUAGAGAUCUGAAGGAAUACCGGUGGGGAAGGCGGCCCCCUGGACAGAUACUGACACUCAGAUGCGAAAGCGUGGGGAGCAAACAGGAUUAGAUACCCUGGUAGUCCACGCCGUAAACGAUGUCUACUUGGAGGUUGUGACCUCCAGCCGUGGCUUUCGGAGCUAACGCGUUAAGUAGCCCGCAUGGGGAGUACGGUCGCAAGAUUAAAACU
rnacentral:rRNA from 1 species